UCCUCUCUGAAGUCUCAGCUGCUAAGCCCAGAAGUGUGAGGUUGUUAAGAAUCAGAACUCAGGAGUUCCUGUCGUGGCUCAGUGGUUAGCAAGCCGGAUCAUUAACCCACUGAGCAAGGGCAGGGUCCGAACCUGCAACCUCAUGGUUCCUAGUUGGAUUCGUUAACCACUGUGCCACGACGGGAACUCCCAAAGUCAUUUCUUCUUUUUGUUUCUUCCUAUAAGUUAAAGACACCUCUCUACCUCAUGGAUGUAUUGUAAGGGGAAAAAGCAAACUUAGAUAUGUGGAUAUCCAUUCAUGCAGUGUUGAUUUAUAUCCUUCACUUUAGUCUAGAGAUAUGACUGUCUUGGUUCUGGUUAUUUUUUACUAGGUACACAGUGUUCAAUGGCUAUAAUGCAGUAUUAGCCAGUUAAUUUAAAAUCAUCAUAAUUAUAUGUGUUUGAGGUGUUUUUAGUUGUUGACUCUACUCUUUCCUUACUUUUGGUGAGAUGAUGCUACUCUGAGAAUGUGUUAGUUUUCUAUUGAUGCUGUAGCAAAUGACCGUAAAAUUAGUGGUUCAAAAUAAUGCUCAUUUACUGUUUUGUAGUCUCAUAGGUUAAAGGUCUGACAUUGGUCUCACCAGCAAAAAUCAAGGUGCUUGCAGGGCUGCAUUCCUUGCUGGAAACCCUGGUAAAGAAUCCAUUUCCUUGCUCAGUCACAUUGCCGGCUGAAUUCAGUUCCUUGCAGUGGUAGGACUGAGUUCCUGUUUCCUUGCUGCCUGUCAGCCAGGUCUUUGCUCCUAGAGGAUUCUCUCAGGUCCCUAUGGUGGUCCCCUACAUUUCUGAGUAAACAUUCCACAGAAUCCCUAUUGUCAUAUUAAAUAACACAUUCAUAGACCACAGGGAGUGGAUAUCUUUGUUGUUAGGGGUGGGACUGAGGGGGCACCAUGGUGUGGGGGAGCAGCAUUCUUCCUAUCGCAGAGUUUCAGUUAAUAAUUAACAUGGUGAUAUAUUAAGAAUUUACUUAUUCAUGUAACUUAAAUUAUUCCACAUAAAAACAGGAAACUAACCUUGGAUACAAUUUUGAAUAUUUCACUAUAACAGCCUUUGGCUUUCUUAUUUAUUCCUCAGUAUUAGUGUUUUUCUUGGCUCUUCUCAGUUAAGUUCACUUACAUUAUAAUACGCUGUGAUGGCAUUUUGGGAGAAGAUUUUUUAUCACUUAUUUGACACAUAUUAUUAUUGAUUUUCAAGUCUGUUUCUUUAGGCAACCUUAAGAAUUUACUGUAUCUUUUGUAUGUGUGUGUAUACCUGUGUGUACAUGUGUAAUUUUUAAUUUUAGGAAAAUUUGUGAAUUGGGCAGUUAGUUUUUGUGUUUUGCUGGGAUCAAAUGUAAUGUAAGGUAAAUUAACUAUGAAUUGCACCUAAGAGACUUUUAACUUUGAUGAUGACCAAAUUUGUUAGUCUUAAUUGUCUUCAAUUUAUUCUAAAUGAUAACUAUUUUAAAAAACAGUUAUUUUUCACAAGAGAUGAUGAGUUAUGCAUUUGGAGGGAUAAUUUAAGGAACAAUGGCAGGGAGUUCCCUUUGUGGCUCAAUGGUUAACAAAUCCAACUAGGAUCCAUGAGGAUGCAGGUUUGAUCCCUGGCUUCGUUCAGGACCCAGUGUUGCUGUGAGUUGUGGUGUAGGCCAGUGGCUGUAACUCCAGGUCGAUCCCUAGGCUGGGAACUUCCAUAUGCCACAGGUGCGGCCCUAAAAGGCAAAAAAAGAAAAAAA
rnacentral:lncRNA from 1 species